AUUAGCUUGGCAGAUUAAUUGUGUCAAAUUUAGAAUUUGAUGAGGACUAUGGAGCAGUCAGUUAAUA
rnacentral:tRNA from 1 species